GACGAACGCUGGCGGCGUGCUUAACACAUGCAAGUCGAACGGAAAGGCCCUGCUUGCAGGGUACUCGAGUGGCGAACGGGUGAGUAACACGUGGGUGAUCUGCCCUGCACUUCGGGAUAAGCUUGGGAAACUGGGUCUAAUACCGGAUAGGAGCCAUCUUUAGUGUGGUGGUUGGAAAGUUUUUUCGGUGUAGGAUGAGCUCGCGGCCUAUCAGCUUGUUGGUGGGGUAAUGGCCUACCAAGGCGGCGACGGGUAGCCGGCCUGAGAGGGUGUACGGCCACAUUGGGACUGAGAGACGGCCCAGACUCCUACGGGAGGCAGCAGUGGGGAAUAUUGCACAAUGGGCGCAAGCCUGAUGCAGCGACGCCGCGUGGGGGAUGAAGGCCUUCGGGUUGUAAACUCCUUUCGCUAGGGACGAAGCUUUGUUGUGACGGUACCUAGAGAAGAAGCACCGGCUAACUACGUG
rnacentral:rRNA from 1 species